GACGUGAUAGUAUAGUGGUUAGUACUCUGCGUUGUGGCCACAGCAACCCUGGUUCGAAUCCGGGUCACGGCA
rnacentral:tRNA from 1 species